rnacentral:rRNA from 1 species
UGCAGUCGAGCGGAUGAGGUAGCUUGCUACCGGAUUCAGCGGCGGACGGGUGAGUAAUGCUUAGGAAUCUGCCUAUUAGUGGGGGACAACGUUCCGAAAGGAGCGCUAAUACCGCAUACGUCCUACGGGAGAAAGCAGGGGACCUUUGGGCCUUGCGCUAAUAGAUGAGCCUAAGUCGGAUUAGCUAGUUGGUAGGGUAAAGGCCUACCAAGGCGACNAUCUGUAGCGGGUCUGAGAGGAUGAUCCGCCACACUGGGACUGAGACACGGCCCAGACUCCUACGGGAGGCAGCAGUGGGGAAUAUUGGACAAUGGGGGGAACCCUGAUCCAGCCAUGCCGCGUGUGUGAAGAAGGCCUUUUGGUUGUAAAGCACUUUAAGCGAGGAGGAGGCUACCUAGAUUAAUACUUUAGGAUAGUGGACGUUACUCGCAGAAUAAGCACCGGCUAACUCUGUGCCAGCAGCCGCGGUAAUACAGAGGGUGCGAGCGUUAAUCGGAUUUACUGGGCGUAAAGCGUGCGUAGGCGGCCAAUUAAGUCAAAUGUGAAAUCCCCGAGCUUAACUUGGGAAUUGCAUUCGAUACUGGUUGGCUAGAGUAUGGGAGAGGAUGGUAGAAUUCCAGGUGUAGCGGUGAAAUGCGUAGAGAUCUGGAGGAAUACCGAUGGCGAAGGCAGCCAUCUGGCCUAAUACUGACGCUGAGGUACGAAAGCAUGGGGAGCAAACAGGAUUAGAUACCCUGGUAGUCCAUGCCGUAAACGAUGUCUACUAGCCGUUGGGGCCCUUGAGGCUUUAG